rfam:Myotis davidii contig124442, whole genome shotgun sequence.
GUCGGCUAUGGAGACAUGGCCCCCGUCACGGUGGGUGGCAAGAUCGUGGGCUCCCUCUGCGCCAUCGCGGGCGUGCUGACCAUCUCCCUGCCUGUGCCAGUCAUUGUCUCCAAC